rnacentral:rRNA from 1 species
AGCGAACGCUGGCGGCAGGCUUAACACAUGCAAGUCGAGCGGGCAUCCUUGUGGUGUCAGCGGCAGACGGGUGAGUAACGCGUGGGAACGUGCCCUUCGGUUCGGAAUAACUCAGGGAAACUUGAGCUAAUACCGGAUACGUGCGAGAGCAGAAAGGUUUAUCUGCCGAAGGAUCGGCCCGCGUCUGAUUAGCUAGUUGGUGAGGUUAUGGCUCACCAAGGCGACGAUCAGUAGCUGGUCUGAGAGGAUGAUCAGCCACACUGGGACUGAGACACGGCCCAGACUCCUACGGGAGGCAGCAGUGGGGAAUAUUGGACAAUGGGGGCAACACUGAUCCAGCCAUGCCGCGUGAGUGAUGACGGCCUUAGGGUUGUAAAGCUCUUUUCUUCGGGACGAUAAUGACGGUACCGGAGGAAUAAGCCCCGGCUAACUUCGUG